UUGGGUGUUACCUUCUAGAAACCCGCUGGUGACAUCGGUCUUGUCACCCUGUGAUGUCAUUUAGCCCUACAAAUGAGGCUUUUUGACACUUGCUCUGAAGUCUGACAGGUGGUCUUGUAAGGUCAGUGAAAUGGCCUCAGUCUGGUCCCAGAAGCUCCCCCUGGGCUAGCACUUAGAGCUCAGCUGAUAAAGCUGGUACGUGUAUUUUUUUGGCCGUUUUAUUUCUAGCCAUCCCCCACACUUUGCAUUUUCAUUAGUUCUCACUGAAUUUAAAUUAUAGUUGUGCUCUGUACAGGCCAGCUGCCCUUGCUGUGGUCACUGUGCAGGGACAUCUUCUCCUUCAUACACACACCCCUCCUCUCCAGCCAGAAAGUUUUCGCAGAUAAGAGCACUUCUAAUCUUGAGGCUCCAAGAUCAAAAGAAAGAGACCUCAGAGCACAUAGAGUAUUCAUAAAAAUAAUACAGAUGGCUCUUUUUCUCCAAACUGGACUAACCGUAUGAAAACAUUUAUUUAAAAAUGAGGCUCACUCUGCUUCUAAAAUUAAUGUCCUGCUUCUGAGCAUCAUUAAUUUCCUGGUCCGUGUUCAAUUUGUAUCAUGUUGCCGGCUGCUAAUGAUGUUCUAGAGCAGCUAUCACAAAGGAGAAGGAAACCUGCCACUCAGUGCAUGGGAAAUAAAUCGCCACCUUGCCAUGAGAUUACCUGUAAUUGGGAGAGUUCUGUAAAAUCCUAAGAGCCACUUCUGGGAAUAUUCAGGGGAGCUGAAAAUGUCAGGGACCGGCUUUUGAGCUCCUGCCGUACAAUCUCUGCUCGAAAUAGCUGAAUGUUAUUCCUUUUCAUUGCAGCCUUGCACAAAUGUAUAUUGAUUAAUAAAGGAAGAGCAUGGUCUGUGCCUGGCACUUUUGAGUGAUAAACAGUUAUGCAGCAGUAAAGAGGGUAUAUUAAAGGGUAAGAGCUAAUGACUUUUCUUGUGUGUGUAACACAUUAAAACCAGCAUGAAGCUACAGCUAUUUUAUCAAGCCACUAAUGUCCCUGACAACAUUCACUUGGUGGGAGUGAAUGAAUGGAAAUCCAUUUAGAGAAGUAAAUUAAAAUACCUUAAAAAAUGUCUUUAAUAAUAGCUACAGAACUCAGCAGGGUCAGAGAAGUGAGAGAUACAAAAGACCUAUUAAGUUAUCCAGUCCAUCUCCCUGCCAAGGCAGCAGUAUUCCUUAUUAUGCAGUCACUGCUGCAUCAUUCGGUGCAGAUUUCAACGUCUCAAGUGCCAGGGGCUCUGAUGGGAGGGUAAUCUACAGGCUGGAAGAUUGGACUGUCACAAAACUCCCAUGUGCAACCUCAUUUUUCCUUCUCCACUUGUCUCCUGUGCCACGCACAGGUGUGCAAUGGGACUAAAUGGAAGAAAACCCUUUCUGGAGUGUUAACUUCUAUAUUUCCUGCCUGUGAUGGUGCUGAGCCAUCAGGCUGCUCGGUGCUGGGGAUGCCUGUAUGUCUGAGGACUAUUGCAAGACGUCUCCUCAAGCAGAUGCUUACGGUCCCAUCGCUCUGAUUUGCCGCAGAGGUGACAGCCGCCCUGGCAGGGGGAGCUUGGUGGCUUCUGAUGGAGCUGCUCCAUCUUCAUUGCCACGCUGCCCACCUCCUGGGCAUUGGCUAAGAGUUGACGUGCCGAGACUUUCUGUUUCAUGGGGAAUUUUGGAGAUUUUAAUAGUGGGGAUUGUUUAUUUGUAAGCAUAACAUGGGCAUCUUUUCCUAUGGGAUUUAUUUGAGCUCAAAAUCAGAAUAAAUGCAUCUGAUCUCCAGCAUGAUCAGCCCUAGAAGUUCACCCUGUAAGUUCUGCAUUGAGUCCAUAGCUCCUCUUUGGAAGUAGCUUACCUUGUAGAAAAGCACCUGUGCUUGAUUUAGAGCCUUGCAGAGGUGGAGAAUCCAGCACAGGCAAUUGCAAGCUGUUCAAGUGGUUAAUUACCUGCGCUGUUAAAAAGCGUGGAGCGCACUUCAGCUGCUAUCUGCUGGAUCUUGUUAUGGCUUCUUAUGCUGGCUUAAAAGACUUAAAUAAAAUAAAUAAGGAGCUUGAAAAAUAUCCUAACGUCGUAGGCAUUUGGGAGGUGAAAAAAGGGGUUUUCUCCUCUUUUUGUGCAAAGGUCUCAACAGAAGUGACAAAAAACUUUUCCUAGGGAGUUACCUGGUCACAUCUUUCUGUCUCGGUGGCAGCAAAAUUGUUUUCUGGUGGGAGAAAUGGGCUGUUGUCUCCUAUGUGAAUGUCAGCGUGCAACAGUCACUAGGGAUUGGGGAGAGCUGAACUGCAGCCCGGAUGGGAAGUCUUCAUCCUACAGGAUGCAAAAAAGCCGAUGGUGGCUGAUCCUCAGCUGUGUUGCUGUAAGAAGGGACUUGGUUUAAUACAGAAUUGGGGAAAUCUUACAAACACAGCUUCUCCUUGCUCUGAAGUGCGAUCUGGAGCAGAAGUCUGUCUCAAAUUUGGACAAAGAGCAUUAGAAAAAGUCUCAUCCAGAAAUUCCUACAGCCCCAGUGGCUCCUCCUCAGCUUUCUCCAGCUUUGGCCUCACGUACUACAGAAAUGACACAUGAAAAAGAAAAGACUGGGGGCUUUUGUUCAAGUUACAGAAUCUAUGAUUAUCACGUACCCUUUUUUUAAAAAAUUGUUGCAGAGCAUAGUUUGAAAAUACUCCUGGCAAACUCCUCUUUUGGUGCUUUAAAUAGCUGUGAUUCAUUGGGUAUUUACCGAGCUUCAGCAGGGCUGGCUGCAGCUCAUGUUAACUUGGUGUACAAUAGGGACUCAUGUGUUUAAAUCCCAUGCUCUGUGAAAUCCUAAAUAAUGAAUAUAGUGGUUAGAGGAAGAAAACAAUUCUUCUGCAUGGGCAAAGGUAACACAGUAAUAAGCAGAUUUUACGGUACAUGUUUUCUGUUUUAAAAAAAUGUACAUUUUGCUCUUCAUCAAUAUUCUAGUUCACUGGAGCAAACAUUUUCUGCAUCACACAUUUCCAGGUAAAUAAGAGAUACCUAAGACCUUGUUUGUGCACUCACGUGGCUGCUGCAGCAUCACUUCUAAUGCUAAGAGAGAAACACGGAGUAUUAUGGGCUCCUGUUAGCAUCUCUGCUAUGGAGGCACUCAGGACUUCUCCGAAUAAAGCCCGUAAAAUGAAAAAUAUCACCUGCAGAGAAACAGGCAGAGAUGUAGUGUAAAAAAAUAUCCCUCCGAGUUAGGCGCAUUUGGGAAGCAAAGUUGUAGAAGGAUGUGGUAUAACCAUAGUAACGGGCAGGAUUCUGCAGAACUGAUACUGGAAUAAUGAAUUUUGCUGAAAAAAAAAAUGCUGGAUGAGAAAAGCAGGCUAUCAGAUUUGGAGACCGUAAAAAGAGUUUUGCAUUUAAACAUGUAUUUGAAUUGAUACAUACUAAAAACCCCAGCCCUUUGUAAACCCUGCAUGUACCGCAGAAGAAAACAAAUUGCAAAGCCCCCUUAUCACUCAGUGUGAAAUAACCACUAAUCAGUAAAACGGGCAAUUUAGACUAUCAUCUUCCCUCUUUUAGCUAAAAAAAAAAAAAAAAAAAGUAGUUUGGUUCAGGGUUUGGUGUUGCUUUUUUUUCCUGUUUUAGUGAGGGUAGCUCCAUGGACGUAGGGGUGCGGGUUGGUGCCACGCAGCGGGAGCAGAGCUGGGGCAGUUUCCCCGGCCAGAUUGUCCCAGAUUUCCAAAUAACCAAGACAAUUUCCAGAUUGUCUUGGUUAUUUUUCAGAUGUUGAGUAGGUUUAAGCAGGCAUCUUACGGCAGUACUCAGGGGAAACUGGGUCCCCAGCUCCUGUGUUUCAGUUUACAAUGAUUUCCAUCUCCAAGUCUGCCCCACCAACACGUAGCAUCCCCUGGCGGGGUGAUCACCAGUCGUGGCGUUGUCCUUGCGGGAUAUUUGUUAAACUGCCAGAAUUUGGGCAAAGGGAAUGAAUGCAUUUGUGGUUUUAUCUCCAUCUCCCAUCGCCAUUCAGUGUGCUGACACUUGGUGUUUCCCAGCUCCCAAGAGCCCCUCAAGGUAUUUCUGCAUCUCGCCCGGUUCCUGGGGCUCCCUCCCCUCCUUGUCCACACCAGUGCAAAGAAGUCUGUGCUGGGAGAUUGCCACAGAGCUCCCUUACGCCCGCCCGCAGGGUGACAAAGCGUUAUUAAUUGACGGCAGAGGAACCAAAUUGCAUCUGGCAGCCUGAUGCUGCCGAGCAUCACGGGUCACAGCCCGCGGGAGGCGGCCCCGCAGGUGGGGGCACAGCACAAUAAAAUCAAAAUAGAUAACAUGAAAUGAAAUGAAAUGAAAU